rnacentral:rRNA from 3 species
GGGCGUAAAGCGCACGCAGGCGGUCUGUCAAGUCGGAUGUGAAAUCCCCGGGCUCAACCUGGGAACUGCAUUCGAAACUGGCAGGCUUGAGUCUUGUAGAGGGGGGUAGAAUUCCAGGUGUAGCGGUGAAAUGCGUAGAGAUCUGGAGGAAUACCGGUGGCGAAGGCGGCCCCCUGGACAAAGACUGACGCUCAGGUGCGAAAGCGUGGGGAGCAAACAGGAUUAGAUACCCUGGUAGUCCACGCCGUAAACGAUGUCUACUUGGAGGUUGUGCCCUUGAGGCGUGGCUUCCGGAGCUAACGCGUUAAGUAGACCGCCUGGGGAGUACGGCCGCAAGGUUAAAACUCAAAUGAAUUGACGGGGGCCCGCACAAGCGGUGGAGCAUGUGGUUUAAUUCGAUGCAACGCGAAGAACCUUAC